UACGUAGGGAGCAAGCGUUGUCCGGAUUUAUUGGGCGUAAAGCGCGUGUAGGCGGCCAGAUAGGUCUGCUGUGAAAACUCGAGGCUCAACCUCGAGCUGUCGGCGGAAACCAUCUGGCUAGAGUCCGGAAGAGGAGAGUGGAAUUCCUGGUGUAGCGGUGAAAUGCGCAGAUAUCAGGAAGAACACCUAUGGCGAAGGCAGCUCUCUGGGACGGUACUGACGCUGAGACGCGAAAGCGUGGGGAGCGAACAGG
rnacentral:rRNA from 1 species